rnacentral:rRNA from 1 species
CACGUAGGGUGCGAGCGUUAAUCGGAAUUACUGGGCGUAAAGGGUGCGCAGGCGGUUUUGUAAGUCAGCUGUGAAAUCCCCGGGCUUAACCUGGGAAUGGCAUUUGGGACUGCAAAGCUCGAGUGCGGCAGAGGAGACUGGAAUUCCUGGUGUAGCAGUGAAAUGCGUAGAUAUCAGGAGGAACACCGAUGGCGAAGGCAGGUCUCUGGGCUGACACUGACGCUCAUGCACGAAAGCGUGGGGAGCAAACAGG